rnacentral:lncRNA from 1 species
AUGGAUAUAUCAUAUUAAGAAUAGUAAAUGAAUACAACUAUUUAUCAUAGCGUGGUCAUCAAUCCUAAAUUGGUGUCAAGUUAGUUUGUGACAACAUCUUAAUCAACAACGUUAUUAAUAUAUGCAAUUAGUGGAUGUAAUAAAGUGUGCAUAACACAAUUUUACAUAAAACCCCCUGCAAAAUUUCAAAACAUAACCAACCCAAUUCCAGUAUUUCAAUCAAUGCAUUUAUAUAAUUAAAUCUUACUUGACAUAUUGACAUAACAACUUAAUUAAUAAAAAUCCUAUUAUCAUUUCUAAUUAACUCAUAAAACUAAUCAAGUCAUUUCAAUUCGAUACCAAUGCCAUAAAGGACUUCUACCAUUUUACUAAUAUAAUCAUCAAAACACAUAAUAUCUUACUUUACAACAAAACUAUAUAACAUACCAAAAUAGCUAUUAUAAUUCUUAUGUACAUGCCACUUUCAUUUAAGAAAGAAAACAUCACCGAAAUCUCUAUGCAGGAGUCAGGAUUGACCUGGAUGCUAAACCAAGACUCAGACCCCUUUUUCAACCUAUGCACGAAAACAACUGUACGCUGAGUAUUUUAUACUCAGUGGUAUUGCCAUAAUUCAAAUUAUAAUAACAAUAAAGAAUUAUAAUUACGAAGCAUGUAACUAUCCGAUUUCUUAAAUAUCAAUUAAUUCAUAAACUUUCAUUAUUUAACAAUAACAAUACAAUUUUUAGCUAUUCUUCAAUCUCAAUCACAUAUCACGUGUAGAAAUUUCAAUCACUACAUAAACAUUAAAUUCAUGCCUUUUAUUUUCAAUAUCAAUUUCAAUCUGCAAAUUUUAAAUUUUCUCAUAUUCAAUACCACAAUCGAUCAAAUUCAUUUGAUUUUCUCAUUUCAAUUAUUCACCCUAUUAACAAUCUGGACUUUGACGGAUACACGAAUUCCAACCCAAACACACCAAUACGGCACAUUGUGCCUAAAACGGUACAUAGUACCUGAUCAGUAUACGACACAUAAGUGCCUGAAACGACACACGAGGUGCCUGAUACGACACAUAAAGUGCCUGAGAUACGACACAUAAAGUGCCUGAUGUACGACACAUAAAGUGCCUAAUCGACAAAGCCGUUAAAUCCCUUACUCUUCCAAAUCCUAUGGCAUGCCAACUAUGUAACAGCCCAAUUUUCAGUAGUGUCAGAAUAGUGAUUUGAGAUCACUAAAAUCGAUGAAAAAGUUAGAAAAAUUUAUUAAUUAAUAAUUAUAAGUUAAGUGUGAUUUUAGAAAUAUUUUUGAAUUAGUGAAUUUUGUGAUUUAAAAGAAAUUGUUAGGUAAAUUGAGUCGAAAACGAGGUGUCGAGACCUCGAUAUCAUAAACUGAGCCAUAAAUAUUUUUAUAAAUAUUUACGGAGUGUUAAUAGGGUAAUAUUAAAGUUCUGUUAAGAAAUUUUAACGUUUCGAUGGUUAAUUGAUUAAAAAGGAUUGAAUUUAAAAAAAAAAAAGAAGAAGAAAUGUAUUCUCGGGACUUCAUUCCGGUAAAUUAGAAUUGUAAAUAUUUAUUAUAAAUAUUUACGAAGCUAGUUGUGUAGUUAAUCAGGUUUUGAUUAAGUGAAUUUGUCUAAAUUGUGGUUAAUUAUGAAAAAGGAUAAAAUUGCAAUAGAGAUAAAAGUUUAAUUAUAGAUUAAAGAAAAGUUAAAAGGACCAAAUAGGCAAUUAUGUCAAUUGUUAAAGUUGAGGCGACAUAAGUAUAAAAAUCUGAGAUUUUUAUGUGUUAAAAAAAUAUUAUUAUAUUAUAGUAAUGAUUAUGUUUUUAUAUUAUAUUAUUAUUAAUAUAUUAUAUUAUAUUAUAUAUAUACAUAAAACAAAAGAAAGAAGAGAAAAAGAAAGAAAAGAAACAGAAUAGAAGAGACGAAACAAAGAAAGAAACAGAGAGCAAAACGAGCAGAGAAGGAAGGAAAGAAAGAAAGAAAGAAAGAAAAAGAAAAAGGGAAAUUUGAGGUUUUAAGGUUCCAAGCUCAAUUGGUAAGUCAAAUUAAGUCAUUUUCUUAUAAUUUUUGAGUUUUUGGAAUCCUAGAGAUAAAUACUACUUGAUUUAUGUUGAUAUUUUGAAAGUUAGUAGAUCGUCAGACAUGAGUUAUGUUGAAUUAAUUGAUGAACUAGAGGUUAAAAUGAUUGAAUUUUAAGUUAGAAGUUAGUAAAAGAUUGAUUUGUAAAAUAAGAUAUAAGUUUUGAAUUGAUAGGGAUUAAAUUGAAAGAAUCCCGAAAUUAGGGAUUUAUGGGGAAAUUGAAGAAUUAAACUGAGUUUAUAGUAAGAAUUAAGAGAGAAUAUAGAGUUAGAAUGGAAAAAUAAAAUUAGUAUUGAUAAGGGAUUAAAUUAGAAUUUGGGUAAAGUUUAGGUAUACGGGAAAUAUUUUAAUGAAAUUGAGUAUUAAUGAUUUUUAAUUGUUUAAUUACGUAGCUAAUGUCGUGUACGAGUCAUUGCCCGAGAAAGGAGAAGGUGGACAAGGAUUGACUCGGGAGAAAUUUCGGUUAGUAUUAAUAUAAUUCGAAUUUAAUUAUUAAUUGUUAAAAUUUAAAUUAAUAUACAUAAUAAGAAAAUUGAGGUAAGCAUCCCGACUGAAUUGAAUGAUAAAUACGUAUUGGUAUUGAAUUUAUUAAUAGUAAUUGUUGAAUUUUGAAUAAUAUGUUUAGUAUAAAAAAAAUAGAUGAAUAUUGAUAUUGAAUUGUACAUGAAUUUGAUUAGAAAAUGAAUUAAAAAUAUAUAUAUGAAUGGAAUAAAAGUGAAUUAAAUUGUGAAUAAGUGUGAUAUAUGUGAAUGGUGGAAUAAGUAGUAAAUUGUAAUGACGGAGAAAUGAUAAAUCCUUUUUGAAAUAAUUUUGUAAAGUAUUUAAAUAAAUGAGAUUCAGAUUUAAUGCCCAAGUAGAUGGAAUUUAGAACUACCAGGAUAUUAGUGGCAUGCCAUUAAGGAACUUAUUAAGGAACUUUAGUGCGCUCUCUGAUAUUAGCACGUUGGUGCUCUCUGAUAUUAGCACGUUGGUGCUCUCUGUUUAGCACAUUUGUGCUCUCUGUAUUUGUUCCGUAUAUCCGGGGUGUUCUGUAAAAUCUACUUUGGGCUAAGAUUAUAAGCUGUGGACAAAAGUGAAUCAUUAAUAUGUUAAGGUAUGUUUUAUAAAGUUUAUAUGUACCGUUUUAGGUAUAAUGUGCCGUAUUGGUGUGUUUUGGUUAGAUCCGUGUAUCCGCCAAGGUCCGAGACAAGUUAAUAGGGGUAAAUGAAUAAUUUUGAUAAUAUAAAUUUUUAUUGAAUGAUCUUGAAUAUGAAUUGAAAUAGCUAUUGUUAAGAAAUGAGAAGUGAAAAUAAAAUAAUUUGAAAGAGUGAAAUAAUAUGUGAAUUUAAUUGAAUACAAGUUAUUGAAAUUUAGUUAUGGAUUUAAUGAAUAAAUUGAGUGUUAAAAGAUUUAAAGUACAUAUUGAAUAUAAAUAGAAUGGAUAAUGAAUGAGUUGAUAAAUUGAUUGAAUUUGUAUGAAUUGGAAUGAGAUGUGAAAAAUUCCAUGAAAUUGAGAUAGUGGAAUAAGGUAUAAAUACAAUUAAAUACAAGAUUUGAAUUAUUGCUUAUUGUUAUUAAUUAUCAAGUUGAUUUAAUGUAUGAGAUAAUUAAUGAAUAAUUGUAGACAUAAAUAAAAUAUAUAUAAUUUAUCAAUUAAUGUUAUUAAUUUGAAUUAUGGUAAUACCACUGAGUAUUCCCAUACUCAGCGUACAGUUGUUUCCGUGCGCAGGAUUGUAGAAAACUAGUGUUCGAUUCAGCAUCCAAAGUAAUCCCGACCUCAAAGACAUUUUAGUGAUGUACCUUUCUGUUGAUAAUGUGGCAUGUACCUAGGUAAUUUAUAUACCUAAGUGAUGUAUAGGGAUUAGUCAUUUUGAAUGUUGUAUCUAUGAUAUUGGUAAAGAAAGAUGUGUGAGUAUGUGAUAAUGUUUGGCUUUUAAAAUGGUUAAGUAUGAAAAUCAAGAAAGGGUAAAUUUUGCAAAGAAACAGAAUUCAGACAGCAAUAGCGACGUAACUUUGAAAAAUCACCUAAGAUAGUAUAAAAUGAAUUAGAGGGUGAAUGAUAUAUGAAAUUAAAUAUUGUUGAGUCUAUUUUUAUAGAAAAAUAACUGUUUAGCAAAAAGAAAUUUAUAUUUUAAGAUAUAUGAAUUUUAGUGAGACAGGGUCAGAAUUGUUUCUGGAGUCCCCUGUUCCGAGUUUAGAAAAUCACUAAAAAUGGUAUAAAAAUAGUUAUGAGUUGUAGUUUAUAUGUAUAGAAUCCUUAUUGAGUCUAUUUUCUGUAGAAACAAGUGGUAAUAUCAUAUGGAAAUCCUAUAGUGAGAAUUUAUUUUUAAUACCAAGGGGUCAGGACAGUUGAGUGAAGAAACAGGGGAGACUUUAACUAAUAAACUGUACUAAUUGGCCAAACCAAAAAUUCUGAAAAUUUUAUGGUAGAAAUAUAUAUGAAUCUGGUUUCAGGGAAAAUUUACGGAAUUAAAUUUUGAGUCUCGUAGCUCGAGUUAUAAUCAAUUUAGUAACUGCUGCGCGAUUAGGCAGAUUACUGUAAACAGUGAAAUAAAUUUUCAAAACGAAUUUUUAUGCCCCGAAUUAGUAAGAUAAGUUAGGUAAUGCUUCGUGCUCGACUUCGGAAACGGUCUCGGGUAAGGGGUGUUCCAAACUAUAUCCCGACUUAGCCCGACUAGUUAAUAGGGUAUUCAAAUUCUCAAUUCACUUUCAUUUCCAAUUCAAGAUCAUUUUUCCACUUUCUAAUCAAUUAACAAUUUAAUACCAAUACAUAUAUCAAAUAAUCACAUAUAACCAUAUUUCGAUUCAAUUCAAACCACUUUUCAAUCAAUACACAAUUCACAUACUCACACAUAUUCAUAAAUUAUUUCACUUUAUUUAAUUCAUAUUUUAAAUUCAUUUUCCAAUCAAAUUCAAAUCACUAAUUACUUUUCAAUCAAUAUACAUUUCACUACUCACAUAUUUCCAUCAUUCGAUUCAAUUUGAUUCAAUUCAAAUCACUAUUAUCACUUCAAUUGCUUACCUAAUUUUACUUACCAUGCAUUUAAUUAAAAUAUAACAAUUAAUAAUAACUAAAUUUGAAUUAUAGUAAUACAAACCCGAAUUUGCUCGAUUAUUCCUCAACGACCUUCUCCUUCCCUUUUUGUGCCGAUACCUCGAAUUCUUUAUUAGCUACGAAAAUUAAAUAAUUAAUUACAACACAAAUUUUACAAUAAAAAUAAAAUUUCUAUCAAAUUUUAUACUUUAAUUCCAAUUUAAUCCUAACUAGAUUUAUCUACUUUUCUAAUUUAAUUCACACUCUAUUUCUAUUCAAAUUUCUUCUAAACUCAAAUUUAUCUACUAAUUUUUUCAGCAUUUUUCACUAAUUUCGAAUUUUCCUCAAUUUAAUCCCUAAAAUUCAAAACUUAUAGUUUAGUUUACAAUUCAAUCCUUUAUUCAAUUCCAAAUAAAAUCUCUAUCAAAUAAAUCCUCAAUUCCAUCAUUUAUUCAACAUAAACCCUACUAAAAAAUCUAUUAACUUUCAAAAUUUCAACUUAAAUCCAAGAGUAUUUCACUCUAGGAUUCCAAAAACAUCAAAUUUAUGAGAAAAUGACUUGAUUUAGCUUACCUAUUAAGCUUCAAAAUCUCAAUUUUCCCCUUUCUUUUCUUUCCCUUUUUCUUCCCCUGUUUUCGUCUCUUUCUCUGUUUCUUUUCUGUUCUUCUUCUCUUUUUCUAUUCUUUUAUUUCAUUUGUUUUCUUUUACUUUUUGUUAUAAU